GGAAAGGAAUUUCCGCUCCGGAUAAGCCCCAGUGCAAACAAGCUGCAACAGCGGCCUCAGCGGGAGGAAGGAGAAAGAAGAGGAGGCGGCGGCGGAGGAGCAGGGCACAUAAACCAGGGCACUUCAGUUGUCUCAUGUUUCCUUCUGUUGAGAGUUCACACUUCGCGUCGGAACUUUUGCGCACAAAUGGUGCAAUUAGCAGGCACAAAAGCCCUUGUUCGUGACCAAGCGAGCUUUAGGAAAACUUGCGCUGACUUUUUUCUUUCCUUUUUAUUCCCUUUAAACUCAUUUGGACUGGAGUUCGCCUUACCCCUCCUCCCCCGCCCUCCUUUCGGCGGUGUGACCUUUGUUUUCCUGUUUAAAAGCCCAAUUCUGUUGGCUCUGAUGUUCUUUUAGCCGAGGCUGUGUUGGGGCUGCUGGACUGCCUGGGCUUUAGUGACCGGUGAGGUGUUAAAUGUUAAUCCAACAUCUUUGGAAACAAACCAGGAUUAUAUUGAAACAUUUUAAAGCAAGCAAACAAAUACCUGUUGUCCAGAUAAUAGGAAUCAAGCUUUUUUUAAAAAAGAAAUAGCGUUUUAAUUAUUGUUUUUAAACAGUGGAGACUGCAGAAACAAACUUGUUGGACAGUCCGAUGCUUUUAUCCCCCUCCAGCGGCGUGGGGCGUAAGGAGCCAGAGCCAUUGUUCCUGUGAUCCUGGCCCCCGCGCCGGUCACCCAACCGUGCGCUGAGCGGGUGGGGGUCGCGCUCGUCACUAAUUUCUGGGCAGGAAGCUCAGCUUCCGAAAAAGGCGCUGCUCGGGCGGGGCCGCCCGCGCGAGGUGCACUAGGGCGCUCGGAGCCUGUGGGCUGGCCCACCAUCGUGGAGGCUCGGGGAAGCCCUCCCGCAAGCCUGCAGGUUGCAGGGAUAAAUUGGGCUCGGCGAGCGGUGACUGUGUAGACAGAGCAGCAUGUCCAAGGGGAGCCUGCCCACCCCCCACCCUCCCACUCUCUUCCCAGCGUGAACCGCAGCCCCCUCCCCUGCGUCACGGCUCUCGCGGAGGACGGGCCGCGCCUGCGCAUUGCACUCCUUGUCAGCACCCCCGUCACCCCGGUCUCCUAGCUAGAGGCCUGAGUCCUUUCCAUCCCAAAGACCCCCUUCGCGGGCUGCCUCACAGCUCGCCUGGAAUCGGCUGGUCUACAGAGAAACCCUCUGUGGAACUGCCCUGAGCAGCUGAAUCCACCCCAACCCGGCUGCCAAGCAAAGCAGGUGCUGUUACAGACCAGGGUCAAAACCCUUUAACUGGGUUAACGGACAGGAAGUACCCAGAUGAAUGACUUUACCUGAGGUCACAGAUUAGGAAAUGGUGGGGCCAGGAUUUGAGACAAGACCUUUCAGGAUUAACCACACACAUGUUCCAGAAAGCAGCAGUGAACAAGACAAAGAAUACCUGCCUUCCCAGAGCUUGCAUCCUAUUGAGGACAGACAAUCGAUUACAGAAAUAAUUCUACAGUAUAUUAGAAAGUGAAAGUGCUAUGGAGAAAAAUAAAGCAAGGAAGGGAAUUCA